rnacentral:rRNA from 1 species
UGGGGAAUAUUGCACAAUGGGCGCAAGCCUGAUGCAGCCAUGCCGCGUGUAUGAAGAAGGCCUUCGGGUUGUAAAGUACUUUCAGCGGGGAGGAAGGUGUUGUGGUUAAUAACCGCAGCAAUUGACGUUACCCGCAGAAGAAGCACCGGCUAACUCCGUGCCAGCAGCCGCGGUAAUACGGAGGGUGCAAGCGUUAAUCGGAAUUACUGGGCGUAAAGCGCACGCAGGCGGUCUGUCAAGUCGGAUGUGAAAUCCCCGGGCUCAACCUGGGAACUGCAUUCGAAACUGGCAGGCUAGAGUCUUGUAGAGGGAGGUAGAAUUCCAGGUGUAGCGGUGAAAUGCGUAGAGAUCUGGAGGAAUACCGGUGGCGAAGGCGGCCCCCUGGACAAAGACUGACGCUCAGGUGCGAAAGCGUGGGGAGCAAACA